GGGCUUGUACCGGUUUCGACGGGGGUUUUGAAGUUGCGGAAGCCAUUCAUGGGUUGGACCAUGUAAAAACCAAACAAUCUAAAUAUAAACGCAGAUAAUAAUAAUCUUGCAUUUGCUGCCUAAGUGCAGCCGUCUGCUCUAGCGCACCCGCACGUUAGAAGUCAGGCGUCGAUUAUGUGGGAAACGACGCGCAGUAAGCUUUGCCUGCGCGGGCGUAUUAUGAAGCUACUGAUGGAAAUUGCCCGUUUAUCGGCGGUUUUCGGAGGGAACGGGCUGCUUUGCAGCCGGAUUGGUAAACUGUAAUGGGAGACGCUGCAAUGGAUGGGCUUUCGGACAGGGGUUCGACUCCCCUCAGGUCCAUUU
rnacentral:tmRNA from 1 species